rnacentral:lncRNA from 12 species
AUGACUUUAACAGAGAACUCCAGUGAUGCCACCUGGUCCUGUGCCACAUCACAUGCAGCCCUGAAGAGCAGUGUCAUCUGCUCUUCCUGCAGGUCACUGUCAAAGGCACUAAUAUAUCUGAAGAAGUGCUGCUUGAAUAACAAUGGUUCCUGUUUAUCACAUGCUGACAGGGGUCAGGCAUUGAGAAGGAUGCUGCAAAUACCAUGACUUAAGAAAUCUUUGCCUUUCCUACAUCACAAAAAGAUCCUACACUUAAUGGAAUAUUACUCAGCCAUUAGAAAUGAUGAAUACCCACCAUUGCUUCAACGUGGAUGGAACUGGAGGGUAUUAUGCUGAGUGAAGUAAGUCAAUCCAAGAAGGACAAACAUUAUAUGCUUUCAUUCAUUUGGGGAAUAUAAAAGAUGGUUAAAGGGAUUGGAGGGGAAGAGAGAGAAAAUGAGUGGGAAAUAUCAGUGAGGGUGACAGAACAUGAGAAACUCCUAACUCUGGGAAAUGAACAAGGG